rnacentral:rRNA from 1 species
AGAGUUUGAUCAUGGCUCAGAACGAACGCUGGCGGCAGGCUUAACACAUGCAAGUCGAACGGUUGUAGCAAUACAGCAGUGGCAGACGGGUGAGUAACACGUGGGAACCUUCCUAGGGGUACGGAACAACUCAGGGAAACUUGAGCUAAUACCGUAUACGUCCGUAAGGAGAAAGAUUUAUCGCCCUUAGACGGGCCCGCGUCGGAUUAGGUAGUUGGUGGGGUAACGGCCUACCAAGCCUACGAUCCGCAGCUGAUCUUAGAGGAUGAUCAGCCACACUGGGACUGAGACACGGCCCAGACUCCUACGGGAGGCAGCAGUGGGGAAUCUUGGACAAUGGGCGCAAGCCUGAUCCAGCCAUGCCGCGUGAGUGAAGAAGGCCUUAGGGUUGUAAAGCUCUUUUACCAGGGACGAUAAUGACGGUACCUGAGAAUAGCC